rnacentral:rRNA from 1 species
AGGGAAUAUUGGUCAAUGGGUGAGAGCCUGAACCAGCCAUGCCGCGUGCAGGAAGACGGCCUUCUGGGUUGUAAACUGCUUUUGUCAGGGGAUAAAAUUUCCUUGCGAGGAAAAUUGAAGGUACCUGGCGAAUAAGCCACGGCUAACUACGUGCCAGCAGCCGCGGUAAUACGUAGGUGACGAGCGUUGUCCGGAUUUAUUGGGUUUAAAGGGUGCGUAGGCGGCCCCCUAAGUCAGUGCUGAAAUAUCCCGGCUUAACCGGGAGGGUGGCAUUGAUACUGAGGGGCUUGAGUAAAGUCGAGGUAGGCGGAAUUGACGGUGUAGCGGUGAAAUGCUUAGAUAUCGUCAAGAACACCGAUAGUGCAGACAGCUUACUAGGCUUUAACUGACGCUGAGGCACGAAAGUGUGGGGAUCAAA